AAAUACUUAAGGACUCACUUGACAGUUGCCAUGGUUCUGAUCCUGGGCUUGCACUGAUAUCAUCUUGUACCAUUCUAGGUACAACUCAUAUCAAUGUUUUUCAUACAAUAUGAAAUACAUAAAUCACCUUUCUGCAUAUGCAUAAAGGAUUCUAUUUACGCAUUAUUUCUUUGGGAGUCAAAGGGGCACGUUCCCUUUGAGAAGGGCAACUUGCUAGUCUCACUAGAAUCGUCCUUCUAUUGAAGUUUAUCAUCAUAUGAGAAACUUCCUAGCAUCCAUUGUCUAUUAUUAGGGAUGAUAUAAUCCAAUUAUAUCAUGAAAUAUAUCAUUAUAGAUUUCCAUCCCAUGUAUAUAGACUAUGUCUCCCAUAUACAUUCUAUCGUUUAUAGAAUGCUUAAAGUCAUAACUUUAACGAAGAAGCUUUCUUUUCAUUUCCAAAAUUAAUAUAUCAUAUAUAUUUAAAUUUUUAGGAACAUGAUUAACUCCCACUAAUCUUUUGUAAACCUAGUAAACAAAAGAUUCAUUUACAUCUUUAUGAGAAAUCAAACGAUUUGAUCCUUUUUCUCAUAAAAUGCAAAUAGCUCCCACUAACUUGCUAAGAUCCAUGAUGGAUGGAUCUCUACAACUUACAUGUCUUGUGAUUCAUAGUUUUAGACAUAUAUUAUCAAGACUAUCUUAAUAAUGGUUUCGGAAACCCAUAUUAUGUCAAAACAUUGAAUCACCAUUUAGUUGUAGCUAGCAAUCUUCGAAUUAAUUGAAACUAAGACUACGUCAAAAAUGGUUCCUUUAAAGCCAACCAUUCUCUUUGAUUGUAGUCACCUUAAGCUACCAAUUAGCUAUGAAGGUUUCAUUAUUUCGAGUCAAAUGGUACUUUACCAUUUUCUUGAGUAUAUAUCGUAUAUGCACUCAAUGUAGUCAUAAAGUUCAAAACCAUUCAACUGAGACGGUUUAUAAAU
rnacentral:lncRNA from 1 species